AAAUUCAGUUCUUAGCACAAAAUUUUCUGUAUUUUGAAGGAUUUUUGGAAGGGUCAGAAUGUCUGCUAGAAGUUGUUGACUGAAUCAAUCCAUGCCAUAAAUUUAAUAAAUGUUUCAACUGAGAUGAACUAUAGAUGAACAUUCCUCAUCCACCAAAAGUUGUCCAAUGACUGAAAUUUAAACAGAUGCAGACACAAAUGAAUAAACAACAGGGUAAUCUCUCAUCAUCUUUAUGAUAUUUGUUAAUGGCAGAAUGGUUUAAAAUCUCUCUUGUAGGGAACAUUCACCCUUCUCCCUCUAAUUUUGUUGAAUUUGGGGAAGUUCGAGCUACAUGUGAAGAUCAAACUCAUUAUUGGAUAGUUAUAUUUAUUGAUAUAUGUAACUAAUGCCUUGUGGCAGAAUCUGACGGAUGCUUAUUAUGCAGUACUGCAGUUUGAUACUGUUCCAUCAACUCAUGCGGCUUCUCAUUCGAGUGACAGAUCGAAGGAGACUGAUCAUAAGACUCUACGAAGGCUUGCUCAGAACCGUGAGGCAGCAAGGAAAAGCCGGUUGAGGAAAAAAGUCUAUACUCUGAGGAAUGCGCCUUAUGCUAGUGAGGAAAUUGAUGUGGUUCGUGAGCAAUGGGCUAAGUGUUUUACCAGCAAAUAUUUAUUAUUGGCCUGAUCGCGCUUGAUCGAGUUGGUUUAGAUGUUAUAGACCAAUCUUUUAUAUUAAAAUGUAUGCGUACAAUGAAAUUGGAACAUAUAUUUAAAUGUACGUGCACUUUGGUUUCAUGUAUACAAAACAACAAUUAUUGUUUUUAUA